AUUGAACGCUGGCGGCAUGCUUUACACAUGCAAGUCGAACGGUAACAGGGAGCUUGCUCCGCUGACGAGUGGCGAACGGGUGAGUAAUGCGUCGGAACGUGCCGAGUAGUGGGGGAUAACGCAUCGAAAGGUGUGCUAAUACCGCAUACGUACUGAGGUAGAAAGUGGGGGACCUUCGGGCCUCACGCUAUUCGAGCGGCCGACGUCUGAUUAGCUAGUUGGUGAGGUAAAGGCUCACCAAGGCGACGAUCAGUAGCGGGUCUGAGAGGAUGAUCCGCCACACUGGGACUGAGACACGGCCCAGAAUCCGACGGGAGGCAGCAGUGGGGAAUUUUGGACAAUGGGCGCAAGCCUGAUCCAGCCAUGCCGCGUGUCUGAAGAAGGCCUUCGGGUUGUAAAGGACUUUUGUCCGGGAGCAAAUGCCUGGUGUUAAUAGCAUCGGGAGCUGAGAGUACCGGAAGAAUAAGCACCGGCUAACUACGUGCCAGCCGCCGCUGUAA
rnacentral:rRNA from 1 species